rnacentral:rRNA from 1 species
UACGUAGGGUGCAAGCGUUAAUCGGAAUUACUGGGCGUAAAGCGUGCGCAGGCGGUUAUGCAAGUCAGAUGUGAAAUCCCCGGGCUCAACCUGGGAACUGCAUUUGUGACUGCAUAGCUGGAGUGCGGCAGAGGGGGAUGGAAUUCCGCGUGUAGCAGUGAAAUGCGUAGAUAUGCGGAGGAACACCGAUGGCGAAGGCAAUCCCCUGGGCCUGCACUGACGCUCAUGCACGAAAGCGUGGGGAGCAAACAGG